CCUACGGGUGGCAGCAGUGGGGAAUAUUGCACAAUGGGCGCAAGCCUGAUGCAGCCAUGCCGCGUGUGUGAAGAAGGCCUUCGGGUUGUAAAGCACUUUCAGCGGGGAGGAAGGCGGUGAGGUUAAUAACCUCAUCGAUCGACGUUACCCGCAGAAGAAGCACCGGCUAACUCCGUGCCAGCAGCCGCGGUAAUACGGAGGGUGCAAGCGUUAAUCGGAAUUACUGGGCGUAAAGCGCACGCAGGCGGUCUGUCAAGUCGGAUGUGAAAUCCCCGGGCUCAACCUGGGAACUGCAUUCGAAACUGGCAGGCUAGAGUCUUGUAGAGGGGGGUAGAAGUCCAGGUGUAGCGGUGAAAUGCGUAGAGAUCUGGAGGAAUACCGGUGGCGAAGGCGGCCCCCUGGACAAAGACUGACGCUCAGGUGCGAAAGCGUGGGGAGCAAACAGGAUUAGAUACCCGUGUAGUC
rnacentral:rRNA from 1 species